rnacentral:rRNA from 1 species
UUCCGGUUGAUCCCGCCGGAGGCUACCGCUAUUGGAGUUCGAUUAAGCCAUGCGAGUCGAGAGUCUUAGGGACUCGGCGCACCGCUCAGUAACACGUGGGUAACCUGCCCUAUGCUGGGGAAUAACCUCGGGAAACUGAGAAUAAUGCCCCAUAGCCCACUACGCCUGGAACGGUGAGUGGGUCAAAGCUCCGGCGGCAUAGGAUGGGCCUGCGCCGUAUCAGGUUGUAGGGGGUGUAAAGUACCCUCUAGCCAUCAACGCGUACGGGUGUUGGGAGACAUUGCCCGGAGAUGGAUUCUGAGACACGAAUCCAGACCCUACGGGGUGCAGCAGGCGCGAAAACUUGGCAAUGCGAGCAAUCGUGACCAGGGAACUCCAAGUGCGUAGGGUAAGACCUACGCUUUCCUUGACUCUUCAAAGGUCUUGGAAUAAGGGGUGGGUAAGGACGGUGCCAGCCGCCGCGGUAAUACCGGCGCCUCAAGUGGUAGUCGCUUUUAUUGGGCCUAAAACGUCCGUAGCCGGUCUGGUGCAUUCGUGGGUAAAUCAACCCGCUCAACGGGUUGAAUUCUGCGAGCACGGCCAGACUUGGGACCGGGAGAGGUGUGGGGUACUCUCAGGGUAGGGGUAAAAUCCUGUCAUCCUGAGAGGACCACCUGUUGCGAAGGCGCCACACUAGAACGGAUCCGACGGUCAGGGACGAAACCUAGGGGCACGAACCGGAUUAGAUACCCGGGUAGUCCUAGGUGUAAACGCUGUGGACUUGAUGUUGGGGGCGCUCCGAGCGCUUUCAGUGUCGAAGCGAAGGUGAUAAGUCCACUGCCUGGGGAGUACGGUCGCAAGGCUGAAACUUAAAGGAAUUGGCGGGGGAGCACUGCAACCUGAGGAUUGUGCGGUUUAAUUGGAUUCAACGCCGGA